rnacentral:rRNA from 1 species
GACGAACGCUGGCGGCGUGCUUAACACAUGCAAGUCGAACGAAGAGCGAUGGAAGCUUGCUUCUAUCAAUCUUAGUGGCGAACGGGUGAGUAACGCGUAAUCAACCUGCCCUUCAGAGGGGGACAACAGUUGGAAACGACUGCUAAUACCGCAUACGAUCUAACCUCGGCAUCGAGGAAAGAUGAAAGGUGGCCUCUAUGUAUAAGCUAUCACUGAAGGAGGGGAUUGCGUCUGAUUAGCUAGUUGGAGGGGUAACGGCCCACCAAGGCGAUGAUCAGUAGCCGGUCUGAGAGGAUGAACGGCCACAUUGGGACUGAGACACGGCCCAGACUCCUACGGGAGGCAGCAGUGGGGAAUCCUCCGCAAUGGACGAAAGUCUGACGGAGCAACGCCGCGUGAGUGAUGACGGCCUUCGGGUUGUAAAGCUCUGUUAAUCGGGACGAAAGGCCUUCUUGCGAAUAGUGAGAAGGAUUGACGGUACCGGAAUAGAAAGCCACGGCUAACUACGUG